AGCGAUGUAGAGCAGUCGGUAGCUCGCUGGGCUCAUAUCCCAGAGGUCGCGGGUUCGAGUCCCGCCAUCGCCACCA
rnacentral:tRNA from 1 species